CUCUGAUGUGCGAAAGAGUUUAAUUUCUUAAAACAUAUUAUUGUUAUUGCUUUUAUUUAUUAUUAUUUGUAUACAUUCAUAUUAUGUUUUCAAAUACGUCAGUUUUACGAGUUAUUACACCUCGAAUCAUAGUGCCUACUGCCUAGUUCUUUUUUUGAUGGCAAAUCAAAAAAAUGCUUUAAGAAAAUUGUGUGAUGUAUCUUUUUACAACAGCCAAACACGUCAAACAGUUCCACUUACCGCAGUUGUGAGAACACCUUGAAUUUCAGUUUCUUACUUUGCCUAACAAAUCUGCAACUAGUAUUCAUCUCUAGCUUGUGGAAACCUAUGGAUCCAAGGUGAUGACACGUGGGUGUGUCACUAUACUCCAGAGUCUUAAAGGCAGUCUCUAAAGUGGCACUAUACCCAUUUACCACCAAUCAAAAAAUUUAAAAUCAAAUUUUUAGAAAUAAAAAUCAUAGAAUCUGCCUUUUGGGACUGAAAAGGGAUAUUAUUUGUCAAUUUUAUGGCUAAAAUACCACCAUAAAUGCAUACUGUGAGUCACUUUGGAAGUUGAGAAAAAAAAAUCAAUGACAAAAAAAGACUCUUGGUAUGUCACUCCUUCAUGACAAUGCCAGAUCUUAUACCGCCCGUCUCACUCAGGACCUGUUUAUUUCAUUUGGGUGGGAUAUUGUGACUCAUCCACUUUACUCGCUAGACCUGGUACCAUCGAAUUGUCAUCUUUUCAAUAAAUUAAUGGAGUUAUUAGGUGGACAUUGAUUUUCAAAUGACUAAGAGGUUCAGGAUGCUGUCGAAAAGUGGUUUCGGAAGGUGGAGCGUUUUAAAAAAAGAAGAUACUAGAAAUAUAUUUAUGCCAACAGAAUUUAAUCAAAAAAAAAUAUAAUAGAUGCUGCAGUAAAUUUAAUUUUUCCCAAUGGUCAGUCAACCAAAGGUCUCAAAUAUUUAAUUUUCAAAUUGAUUUAUUUGAAUUCAAAAAAACUUCAUUCAUGCAAAAUAUUACUAUUUCAAUACUUUUUUCAAAAUACAAGAUUAAAAUCAUCGAGGUUCUACUUAGCAACUAAAGCAAAUUAUCUUUAUCGUGUAACACCAGUUAUAUAUCUGUAACAACUAUUAAAGAUAAUUCAAGUCUCUUUCAGCAAGAGCCUUACUGACUACUGUGGAACAUUUAACUACAAAUAGCUCUUCUGAUAUUCAUAACUUUUAAAAUCAGAUUUACCUAAUCAAUUCUACAUCAAAAAAAAUAUUUUCAAAAGUUAUUAGACGCUAUUGAAAACAUUGAUAAUAACUUUUAGUUUUAUUACUAUUGAAUUUAUAUUACCAAAUAGGUAACCAAAAAAUGCAAUAGAUGCAGGUGGUAUUUAAAAAUAUGUUCUCAGUAAAUAAUUGGAUUGUUUUUAUGAGACUUUAAUUGCAGAAACAUCUUCAAAAAUACCGUGUUUGCAGUAUGGCUUAAUAAGUUGAUAGCGAAGAACAAUUACAAUAAUAUUUUGCUGUAAAACUUUUACCAUCCUUUUUUUGAACAAUUAAUUGGACAUACUUUAUUUGAUUUGAAGUAUUUUUACAGACAAAUUGUGAAACUGAUAGGAAUAUUUUAUCAAACACAUUAAAUAUUUAUACAGAUAAACUGAUGAAUAUUUUAUAUGAUUUAGA